AUACCACAACACGACUAACUCUGAAAAUAAAACAGAGGAAGUCAAACGUUGAGUGUAUGUAGAAUUGUUGCUCAAAUCAAACGUACGGGUUAUGUGCGAUGAUUAAGAUUAUGUACAUUAGGUUUUGGAGGGUGUCUCAACCGGGACCGGAAAAAGAGGAGAGUCCGGCAGGUGGCGCGCAAUCAAGAAUUAUUAAGAGCCAGGGGAUAACUUUAUAUAACAAAAAACUUUUCAAAAGUCUGCACGUUCGAAUUCAGGUGAGAAGUAAAAGUCAUAUAUGGCACGCUGUAAAGCUAAGAAAAAGAUUCGGACUUUUUGACUACAUAAACUUGGCUACCACGAGCGGGAUGAGGCCCCGGGUUAAAUCCUCGACAUUUCCACCACACAAGUUUGGAUGACAUUUUGACAAGUGACGCUGCACGUCCAGCAGAUGGCGCUGUGGUAAAAUGUGUUCCACCAUGGCAACAGUUGGACCACGGACCAGACUAAUCUACUGAUGUCAAAUAUAGAAAGAUAAUGGAAGUCCACCAACGCUCCGGUCUCCUCACCUGGGACGGACGUCCCGAGCGCCACGAAGACCACGGCGGUGACCGAGUCCUUGAGGCCGAUGGUGCAGCCGAAGUGAGACGCCAGGUCGCCGAUGACGGCCGUCAGCAGGCCGAUGAUGACGAUGGACACCACGAAGCACGCCCAGCCGUUCAUGUAGUCUGUGGGCGGCACGCAGGCGAACAGAACCUUCCAGAAGACCGUCAGGAAGUGCAUGACGUAGUCGAAGCAGGACGGAAGACGCUCCUCGCCAGCGUCGUCCUCUUCCUCGUCUGGGGGAGGACAUGAAGCCUUUACAUGUUACUCAACAACUACACCCAAUGGAUGUCAGAAUACAGGAUCUUUGACUCAUCCUUUUGUAGUAGGCCUUUAAAAAUGUCAGCAUAGAGGAUCUUUGGCUAGCGUUUUUGGAGUAGAUCCUCAAUAGCAGCAGUGUUGCCGUCACAUAGAGGAUCUUUGACGAGUGUUUUUGCACUCCGGUUUUAAUAAUUGCAUAAGAAGAUCUUCGACUAGCGUAUUUGUAUUGGAGCUUAAAUAACAACACGUCACAUAGAGGAUCUUUGACUAGAGGUUUUGAUGUAGGGCCUUAAAAACAACAGAGCACUCUUUUCACAUAGAGGAUCUUUUGGUAAUGUUUUGGCGGUAGGAUUUUAAUAACAGCAGAGCGCUCCUGUCAUAUAGAGGACCUUUGGCUAGUGUUUUUGAAGCAGAGCUAUACAAACAGCACAGCACUCCUGUUGUAUAGAGGAUCUUUGGCUAGCGUUUUUGCGGUAAACGCUGUAAAAACAGAAGAGCACUCCUGUUGUAUAAAGGAUCUUUGGCUAGGGUUUUUGCAGUAGGGCUUUAAAAGAGCACAUUACUCCUGUCAUACAGAGGAUCUUUGGCUACCAUCUUAGAAGCGAGGCUUUAUAAACAACACAGCACUCUUGUCGUAUAGAGGAUCUUUGGCUAGUGUUUUUGCCGUCAGGCUUUGAAAACAGCACUCCUGUCACAACAAGGAUCUUUGGCUAGUGUUUUUGCAAUAGAGCUUUUAAAACAGCAGAGCGCUCCUGUCAUAGAGGAUAUUUGGCCAAUGUUUUUGCAGUAAAUGGUUUAAAAACAGCGGAGGGCUCCUGUCUUGUAGAAGAUCUUUGGCUAGCAUUUUUGAAGCAGGGCUACAGCACAGCACUCCCGUCGUAUAGGGGAUCUUUGGCUAGCAUUUUUGAAGCAGGGCUACAGCACAGCACUCCCGUCGUAUAGGGGAUCUUUGGCUAGCAUUUUUGAAGCGAGGCUUUAUAAACAACACAGCACUCUUGUCGUAUAGAAGAUCUUCGGCUAGUGUUUUUGCCGUCUGGCUUUGAAAACAUCUCCGGGUUGGGGAGGAGACCCUGCCCCAAGUGGAGGAGUUCAAGUACCUAGGAGUCUUGUUCACGAGUGAGGGAAGAGUGGAUCGUGAGAUCGACAGGCGGAU